GUUGUAUGGUUAAGUGACUAAGCGUACACGGUGGAUGCCUUGGCAGUCAGAGGCGAUGAAAGACGUAGUAACUUGCGAUAAGCCCAGAUUAGGUAGUAACAACCAUUUGAGUCUGGGAUUUCUGAAUGGGGAAACCCACGUGCAUAAGCACGUAUCCUUACCUGAAUACAUAGGGUAAGGAGGCGAACCGGGGGAACUGAAA
rnacentral:rRNA from 1 species